rnacentral:rRNA from 1 species
UACGGAGGGUGCAAGCGUUAUCCGGAUUCACUGGGUUUAAAGGGUGCGUAGGAGGGCAGGUAAGUCAGUGGUGAAAUCUCCGAGCUUAACUUGGAACUGCCGUUGAUACUAUCUGUCUUGAAUAUUGUGGAGGUAAGCGGAAUAUGUCAUGUAGCGGUGAAAUGCUUAGAUAUGACAUAGAACACCAAUUGCGAAAGGCAGCUCGCUACACAUAUAUUGACUCUGAGGCACGAAAGCGUGGGGAUCAAACAGG